rnacentral:snoRNA from 1 species
ACCUGCUUUCAAAGUGGCUCGGACUGCCCGUGUCCUGGUCGUCAACCAUGCAGGGAGAGCGAUUGCGGACAGCCGUUUCCCGUGUUUGGAGGGUGCAGCAUGCCUGUCCCUGCAAAUGCUGGGCUUUCACACA